CUCUCUUCUUUGACAAACCCCAACCAAAGCUCUUUCUCUUCGACAAACCCCGACCAAAACCAUCUCUCCCUCUAGCUAGGUUAUUCGAUCUGGGAAAUAGCGAAGGGAAGAAAACCUAAUGGGUAGCCUCUAGGGUUCUUCAGAUCUUUCAGCGUUGGUGAUUGUUGCUUUCGUCGGUGGUUACAACUUUGAAAGCAAGUUGUUUGACAUCGCCGGAUUUGGGUCAAUACAACUUUGAAAGCAACUUUGAAAGCAAGGAUUUGGGUCUCUCUGCUUUCUCUUCCACGUCGCCGGCUUCAUUUCCGAGAUGCAAGAGAUCGGUCUCCAAGAAAAUCUGCUCCGUCAUAUCGCUACAGCAAUCGAAGUGGAAGCCAGCCACUACUGGCUCGGUCAAGACGGGAAUGACAAUGACGGAGAAGAUAUUGGCUAGGGCUUCUGAGAAACCCCAAUUGAGCCCAGGUGACAAUGUUUGGGUUAACAUUGAUGUUUUGAUGACCCAUGACGUGUGUGGCCCUGGUUCAUUUGGAAUCUUCAAGAAAGAGUUUGGACAGAAUGCAAAGGUUUGGGACAGAGAAAAGAUUGUAAUCAUACCUGACCAUUAUAUAUUUACUACUGAUAAGCGUGCAAACCGUAAUGUGGAUAUCUUGAGG